rnacentral:lncRNA from 1 species
GAAAAGAAAGUUUUUAACCUCUCGGACAGUUAUCUGGACAGCAAGUCUGGAUGUCUCUGUCUCCUCAUGGCACACUAUUGCCACAUUAUCUUUCUUCACAGAUAUAAAACAACAUUUGUAACCUUCCUGCCUCCUGUUGUCUUCAAAAUGGGCCUUGGAGACCAUCAUGAAUCCAGGGCAGGAAUCCAUUUGGUCUAAUUGAUCUAUGAGUCACUGAACUUCACAUAGACACUGAAAAUACAGAAAACGGAUAUAGAACUCCGUUAACAGAUAAAUUGGGCAAGUAAUAAUGUAGCGCUGUUUUUUCUUUUCUUAUCAUUUAUUCCUGCUGAGUUUCUUG